rnacentral:rRNA from 1 species
GACGAACGCUGGCGGCGUGCCUAAUACAUGCAAGUAGAACGCUGAAGGAGGAGCUUGCUCUUCUGGAUGAGUUGCGAACGGGUGAGUAACGCGUAGGUAACCUGCCUGGUAGCGGGGGAUAACUCUUGGAAACGAUAGCUAAUACCGCAUAACAGUAGAUGUUGCAUGACAUUUGCUUAAAAGGUGCAAUUGCACCACUACCAGAUGGACCUGCGUUGUAUUAGCUAGUUGGUGGGGUAACGGCUCACCAAGGCGACGAUACAUAGCCGACCUGAGAGGGUGAUCGGCCACACUGAGACUGAGACACGGCCCAGACUCCUACGGGAGGCAGCAGUAGGGAAUCUUCGGCAAUGGACGGAAGUCUGACCGAGCAACGCCGCGUGAGUGAAGAAGGUUUUCGGAUCGUAAAGCUCUGUUGUAAGAGAAGAACGAGUGUGAGAGUGGAAAGUUCACACUGUGACGGUAUCUUACCAGAAAGGGACGGCUAACUACGUG